GCUCAGAAUGGAAGGAGAAAGCAGAAAAUCUUGAAUUGGAACUUCAGCAAUGUUACAAAGCUCAGUCUCGGUUAUCCGAGCAACUUGUGGUGGAGGUAGCAGAGUCCCGAGCAUCAAAAGCUGCACUGGAAGAGAAAGAGACAGCAUUCACUGAUUUGCAAAAGGAGUUGGCUCAAACAAGGGAUGAAUGCUCUCAAUUAAAGGUAGAUUUGGAAGAAAAAAUUAAGGCGUUAGAAUUGGUUGUGAGUGAGAAUCACUCACUUCGGAAGCAAUUGGAAGAGAUGAUUGUCAAGGCUAAGAAUGCAGAAGCGGAAAAUAAGAUAUUAGUUGAUCGCUGGAUGCUGCAAAAGAUGCAAGAUGCGGAACGUCUUAAUGAGGUACUUCAUAUUAUUAGUAUAAUUGAAAUGAAAGUGUGGAAGAGAUUUAAUUGGUCUGCUAACGUUCUAAGUCUUUUAGUCCUAAAUUUAUCUUACUUUUUUUUGGUGUAAAACUUCAUAGAGAAAAUACUUCUCAAGCUAAUAUGAUGGACUAGCAAUUCUAUGAAAUACAGUAGGUUCUUGAAAGGCCUUGUUGAAAGGUUAUUUUAAUGUCUUCCCUUCAUAGAUCCAUUGGUCAUUAAAAAGAUUUGGGAUGGAGAUAGAUAGCCUCAUAUUUUUUCAAUGUGAUUUUGUUUCAAAUGCAGGGAAGGUUGUUAGACUUUGUACCUUUUCGUCUGUCAUCUUAGGUGCAUAUAAAAUACCAGAGUACUGUACAUUAGUUUGAUUCCUAUCAUAGGGUGUUAUAUAUUUGGUGUUGUAACAUAAUUGUCUCGCUUACUCUGUCAUAAGUUAAGCACUGCAGACUGAUCUUACCGUUGCCCGAAAAGCAUUAUUGAGCUGUAUGACUCUGAAGUUCACAUACAUUGUUUUAAGUUCUUAAUCUUUCUUUUUGAUGGGCAUAUCUAUAAAUUAGUUUUUUUUCCCCCUGCCUUAUGGGAUGGACGUGGCUAAUUAAUGAUUCCAUAAUUAACUUAGGCUAAUGCAUUAUAUGAAGAAAUGGUUGAUCGGCUCAAGGCAAGUGGUUUAGAGAAACUUGCUCAGCAGCAAGUGGAUGGUGUGGUCCGGCAAAGUGAAGAUGGUGCUGAGUGUUUUGUGGAAUCAACCGUUCCUGCUGCAUGCAAGCGCAAAAUUACAGCUCAUGAGGGUGGCUGUGCUUCUAUAAUGUUUGAGUAUAACUCAAGCAAAUUAAUUAGUGGUGGACAGGAUCGAUCAAUCAAAAUGUGGGAUACAAAUACUGGAUCUUUAAUUCGUACACUUUAUGGUUGCCUUGGCUCUGUUCUUGAUCUUUCGUUGACCCAUGAUAAUAGAUCUGUCAUUGCAGCCAGUAGCUCCAACAACUUGUAUGUGUGGGAUGCCAACUCAGGACGUGUCCGUCACACUCUCACAGGCCACAUUGACAAAGUGUGUGCUGUGGAUGUCAGCAAAAUUUCUAGUCGACAUGUUGUCAGUGCUGCUUAUGAUCGUACUAUAAAAGUGUGGGAUUUGCAAAAAGGUUACUGCACCAGCACAAUUGUUUUCCACAGCAACUGCAAUGCUCUUUGUUUUAGCACGGAUGGAAUGACCAUUUGUUCAGGCCAUGUUGAUGGGAAUCUUCGUUUGUGGGAUAUUCAUACAGGAAAGCUACUCAGUGAAGUCGCUGCACAUUCACUUGCUAUUACUUCUAUAUGUCUGUCUAAAAAUGGAAAUGUUGUUUUGACAAGUGGGAGAGAUAACUUGCACAACUUAUUUGAUAUGAGGUCUUUGGAAGUUUGCAGUACAUUAAGAGCUACUGGAAACAGAGUGGCGUCUAAUUGGAGUCGCUCUUGCAUGAGUCCUGAUGACAACUAUGUUGCUGCUGGAUCAGCUGAUGGAUCUGUGUACAUUUGGUCAAUAUCUAAAGCUGAUAUUGUAAGCACUCUGAAAGAGCACACUUCUUCUGUCCUCUGUUGUUCGUGGAGUGGACUUGGAAAACCAUUAGCCACUGCUGACAAGAACGGAAUUAUGUAUACCUGGGCAUGAUGAUUUAUUUGUGCGCUUGUGAAUAUGACAAAUUGUUUAUCCAAAAUCUGGCUACGUUUCUCUGCAAAAUUUUAUUGCCUGGUUUCCAAACAAGUUGGUGAAAUGCUGGGAGUCAUGAGAUGAUAAAAGUUGCUUGAUCCCACGGUCGCCCAGCAUGAUUCUCGACGGAGGGGUGUGCCUGCCUAGGAAAGUUUACCGUUUUCAUAGAAAUACUACCGUAAAUGGGAAGCUAUGAACAGGUUGAUUACUUGUAAGUAUUGGAAGAGAAUGACAAAUUAAAUUCGUUGGAUGCGACUUUUGUGUCAUAUUGUUUAACCAUAUCUCCCUUAAAACUGAAUUCAUUGUUUUGUGCACUAUGAAGUGGUCCAUGUAGAUCAUUAUGAUUGAAAUGUACGAUUUAAUUUGCUGUAUUUGAUAUCUAAAUGUUUGAUACCAAUCAUUAUUUUCUUUCUAGUAUUUGAAAAAUAAGG
rnacentral:misc_RNA from 1 species